GCCUUUAUGGUGUAAAGGUAGCACACACAGUGCAUAUCUGAAAGGUCCAGGUUCGAGUCCCGGCGAGGGCA
rnacentral:tRNA from 1 species